UUUUAUCGUUGGCCUCAGAUCAGGAGGAUCACCCGCCGAAUUUAAGCAUAUCAAUAAGCGGAGGAA
rnacentral:rRNA from 1 species